rnacentral:rRNA from 1 species
UACGUGGGAUACAAGCGUUAUCCGGAUUUACUGGGCGUAAAGAGUUCGUAGGCGUCUGACCAAGUUCUGCUUGAAAGACCGAGGCUCAACUUCGGGAGCAAGCAGAAAACUGAUCAGAUUGAGUCUGUUAGGGGGUACUGGAAUUCGCAGUGUAGCAGUGAAAUGCGUUGAUAUUGCGAAGAACACCAAGGGCGAAGGCAGGUACCUGGGACAUGACUGACGCUGAGGAACGAAAGCUAGGGGAGCGAAAGGGAUUAGAUACCCUAGUAGU